UCGAUAGCUCAGUUCGUAGAGCGGUUGACUGUACAUCUAUAGGUACUUGGUUCAAAUCCUACAGUGCAGAU